CAGAGCUAAGGUUAUUUGUCCUUUAGAGCAAAGGCAUCCAUUCUCAUAGAACCCCUGGGUCCUGUCUUCAAGUGUGUGUGUGGGGCAUAAAUGAUAGUAGUGGCUUCCAUAUUUAAACAAGGGCCCAAGUAAACUUUUGUGCAAGGGCCCAAGGAAAGAAAGAUCCAACUAUGGAUGAUGUGGGGGUGGGAGGGUCCAGGAUGGCUCCAGUGGACAUCAUCCUGUCCACACUUCUUCUCCUAGGUGGCUUUUUGUCCUUUGGAAGGUGGCUUGGUAAAGUCCAGAGCUAUGGACUCAGCCGCAACGAGACUACACGUUAGCCUGGGGGGGGGGUUGCUGGUAACUUCUGAACAUAUCACCGAAUGACAUCAGCAGUGUAUGAAAACUGUUCCGUAUGCAGGGGACAGUGAUUAAAAAGAAAUAGCAGGCUGGUUGGGGGGGGGGGUCUUUUGUGGUGAUGGGAUGGACUCCAGGUUACAAAUGCUAGGCAAGCAAGAACUCUACCACUGAGCUACGCCCUUAGCCCAUUUUUAAAAACCGGUUAUGGCCAGAAUAGGCCGUCAUUGGAUAGUCUCGGUUAGUCUGCUGCACUGGUGGGCUGGCAGCAGAAAUCGGGAACCAGGGGGUGGGGUCAAGGAUGGGAUAGAGAUACUGCAAAGAGAAUCCCUAGUAGGGAAAGCUAACCACUGAAUCUUUUCUCCAUACCCCUUCCUUUCUCUUACCUGACUACAAAUGAGGUUUCCUUUAGCUUAGACUGGGAUGGAGAUGUGACCUGCAGGGUGACAGCUCCAGGUGGCUGCAGCCUGGUCUGCACUUUGAGUACAGCCCUGGCCAGACCCUUCCCUGCAAGCAGUAACUGGUUACAGCUGCUCUCUUCACUGCUGGAGCAGGUAGUGGGGAGGCAGGUGGGUCCCCAUCAGGGACUGGGACCAGGGAAUUGACAGAAGAGUGUGAAAAGGAGAUGGAGUUCGAUGGCCCUGGGUUCAAGACCCCAUUGUGCUACUACCUAGCUUAGUGACCUUGAACAAGUACCAUUAUGUCUCUGAAUCUAUUUAUAAAAUGGGGAAGAGUUGGCAAGAGUUUGGAAAGAUUUCUCAGGCUCCACCCGGUUCUGAAAUUCGGCAAUUUCUCAACUAGGGUGCAUCCAUCCUGCGAGGGGUUAAGAGGCCAUCGCUGAGAAACCAGCAUCGGUGUGGAGCCGAGCCCGUUGACCCAGCCUGGCAAAGCUAUGCCCUUUGGGAAGGAACCUUGAAGGCCAGAGUGCCUGUCCUCAGUCCUGGGGCUAGAGACCCUGCACAUUGCCAAGGCUGAGGCACGGGCCCAGCCCACCUCCUAUCUUCUGGGUGUGUCCCAGAAUGGCUUGCCUCAGCCCUGAACUGCCCUGGCUGCUCAGAAUGGCAGAGAGUGAUACCCUAGGUGUCCAGGACAGACUGGGAAAGGGACAAAAGCGGAGCAGGGCCUGGGGUAGGGGUGGGCAGGAGGGAGAGGGAGCUGUUGGCACCAGGAGCAGCUGGAGGGGAGGAGAUCCUGUUCUGGGGAAGCCCUGCGGGCACGGAUUUACAACACCCCCUCCUCCUGGUCGGUUAUUUCGGACCCCGGGACCCGAUCCCGGGUCCGGCUUGGUGAGCCUAGUGGGUCUGGAAGCUACUAUAUUUAGCCGGCGCAGCGGGCGAGAGGAAAACUAUUUAUAGAUCAAACAAUCCGCGCUCCCUGCGUCAAUGGAACCCCGCGUGCGUCACGCGCGCAGACAUUCCAGGCCCCCCCUCUUCGCCCCGCCCCCUCGGGCUCCCCGUCCCCGCGCCUCCUCCUGGCCGCCUCCCGCCGGAACCGCGCCGCCCCCCGCGCCCUUGUAUGGCCAAAGCUCGCCGGGCCGUGUGCGUCAGUGGCGCCCCCGCCCCUCUCCAUGCGUCACGGAGCGCUUAAGAUGUGGGUCGGGCUCGCCAGGGGAGCCCCAGUGCAGGAGGCUGCGAAAGUUGGGGGAGUGUGCUAGAAGGACUGCGGAGCGGAGCGCACGCGGGACCAGGCUGCGACUGGGUCGCUGGUCCCGGCCACAGGGAGUGGGAGCCGGCUGGAGAUGCCCUGUAUUCAAGCUCAAUAUGGAACACCAGCAACGAGCCCAGGACCGCGUGACCACCUGACCGGUGAUCCCCUGGCCCUUGAGUUCGGCAAGCCUACCAUGGACCUGGCCAGCCCCGAGACAGCACCUGCCGCACCUGCUACACUGCCCAGCUUCAGCACCUUCAUGGACGGGUACACCGGAGAGUUUGACACCUUCCUCUACCAGCUGCCGGGGACGACCCAGCCGUGCUCCUCAGCUUGUUCCUCUGCCUCCUCCACGUCUUCUUCCUCAUCCUCGGCCACCUCCCCCGCUUCGGCGUCCUUCAAGUUUGAGGACUUCCAGGUGUACGGCUGCUACCCGGGCACCCUGAGCGGCCCAUUAGAUGAGACCCUAUCCUCCAGCGGCUCUGAGUACUAUGGCAGUCCCUGCUCAGCCCCCUCGCCAUCUACACCCAACUUCCAGCCGUCCCAGCUUUCUCCCUGGGACGGCUCAUUUGGCCACUUCUCCCCGAGCCAGACUUAUGAAGGCCUCUGGGCAUGGACAGAGCAGUUGCCUAAGGCUUCUUCAGGGCCUCCGCCACCUCCAACCUUCUUCUCCUUCAGUCCUCCCACUGGCCCCAGCCCCAGCCUGGCCCAGAGUUCUCUGAAAUUGUUCCCACCACCAGCCACCCACCAGCUUGGGGAGGGGGAGAGCUAUUCCAUGCCAGCAGCUUUCCCCGGCUUGGCACCCACCUCUCCGAACCGUGACACUUCCGGCAUUCUGGACGCACCCGUGACCUCCACCAAGUCCCGGAGCGGGGCUUCAGGUGGCAGCGAGGGCCGCUGUGCAGUCUGUGGUGACAAUGCUUCGUGUCAGCACUAUGGGGUCCGCACCUGUGAGGGCUGCAAGGGCUUCUUCAAGCGCACAGUACAGAAAAGCGCCAAGUACAUCUGCCUGGCAAACAAGGAUUGCCCUGUGGACAAGAGGCGGCGGAACCGCUGCCAGUUCUGCCGCUUCCAGAAGUGCCUGGCUGUGGGCAUGGUGAAGGAAGAAGUGGGGUGUAUAGUGUGCCCUGAAGACCCUCCUUCUCCAGGUCUCCUUUCUCAAUACUGCCCGUCUCUCUGCAGUUGUACGGACAGACAGCCUAAAAGGGCGGCGGGGCCGGCUACCUUCAAAACCCAAGCAGCCUCCAGAUGCCUCCCCUACCAAUCUUCUCACUUCCCUCAUCCGGGCACACUUGGACUCCGGGCCUAGCACUGCCAAAUUGGACUAUUCCAAGUUCCAGGAACUGGUGCUGCCCCGCUUCGGGAAGGAAGAUGCCGGUGACGUGCAACAAUUUUAUGACUUGCUCUCUGGUUCCCUGGACGUUAUCCGAAAGUGGGCAGAAAAAAUCCCUGGCUUCAUUGAGCUUUGCCCAGGAGACCAAGACCUGUUGCUAGAGUCUGCCUUCCUGGAACUCUUCAUCCUCCGCCUGGCAUACCGAUCUAAACCCGGUGAGGGGAAGCUCAUCUUCUGCUCAGGCCUGGUACUACACCAGCUGCAGUGUGCCCGUGGCUUUGGUGAUUGGAUUGACAACAUCCUGGCCUUCUCACGGUCCCUGCACAGCUUGGGUGUUGAUGUUCCCGCCUUUGCCUGCCUGUCCGCUCUGGUCCUCAUCACUGAUCGACACGGGCUCCAGGACCCUCGUCGGGUGGAAGAGCUGCAGAAUCGCAUUGCUAGCUGUCUGAAGGAGCACAUGGCUACCGUGGCAGGAGACCCACAGCCGGCCAGCUGCCUGUCACGUCUGCUGGGCAAACUGCCUGAGCUUCGGACCCUGUGCACUCAAGGCCUGCAGCGCAUCUUUUGCCUCAAGUUGGAGGACUUGGUACCCCCUCCACCUAUUGUGGACAAGAUCUUUAUGGACACAUUGUCUUUCUGACCCCUGCCCUGAACAUGUGUGCGCACACGUGCGUGCUCUUCUGUCACCCAUGUGCCUUUAAGCCUAUAGCCCACGGACCCCCAGACCACCCUACCCCCAGCCUGGUUUUGAGCUAAGACUGACGUACCUCCUCACUCCAGAAGAUGGACAGAGAACUCAAGACCUGGGGGAGGGUGUGUAUUCACGGGGGUGACCCCACUAUUUGUCUUAUCCCUCCAGCUCAGUCCUGGCCUUCGUGUGUUUUUGUAAGAUAAACCAUUUUUAACACAUACCACUCUGUUGUAAAUAAGCUGACGCUACUGUAAAUACAGAAAGGAAGAGGUUGAGAUGGGGGUUGGGAGGAAGGGGUGGGGCUCCCACCAGCUGGGCGAGCCUCCAACUCGAGAUCUCUUCCGCUCUCCUUCCAUGUGUACAUAACUGUCACUCAAGAAGGUGAUUGACAGAUUCUGAUUUAUAUUUGUGUAUUUUCCUGGAUUUAUAGGAUGUGACUUUUCUGAUUAAUAUAUUUAAUAUAUUGAAUAAAAAAUAGACAUGUAGUUGAAA